ACCAGCAAAUGAUGAGAAACUGGAUCUGACGGGCUGUGCUGUGUUUGUUCAAUUCAACUCUGAGCUUUGUGUU
rnacentral:snoRNA from 1 species